UACCAUAGCCAUAUCACUCUGCAACCCAAGACCGUUUACUCACUGAAGCUGAGCAGGGCUGACCCUGGUCAGUACCUGGAUGCGAGACCACUUGCGAAAACUAGGUUUCUGUUGGAA
rnacentral:rRNA from 1 species